UGUUAAAAUUUGAUUCAUUUGUACUGUUAAAAACUGGCAAGAACAUAGAAUAACUAAAAGUGUAUCUCAUGCCGAUGUACACGGACCAGUUUUUUGCUGUAGAAAUGGAUGAAAAUUUUAAUA
rnacentral:pre_miRNA from 1 species